UUAGAGAAGAAAUCUAGCCUCUACAAGAAAGUACAAAUACUCGAUAGCUUGAACCAUUUAAUUGUGCUGACAUUAGUUCCACUUGGUUAUCUGGAACAUUUAUCCAACACAGGUCACCAUAUCAGAACAGGAAUGUGGACAUGAUGUAUCUUUUCACCUGGAAGGAGCAUACAGACCUGUGCAAAUGGAAACUAUGCUUGGCUGCUUAGGAAGAAUGUGUGCCUACUCACCAGCCAGUGCACACAUAGUUAUUAAUGUGGAUACAUUUUCCUUUUGAGAUUGGCAGAGACAGGCUGGCGGAAAGCACAUACCGACCUGAAGAUCCAGAGACUAUUGUGGAGAAGAAGCAGAAAUAUUGUAAGAGCAAGAAAACUGGAACAAAACAGUAUCUUCUGGACAGGACAAGACAGCUGUAUCCAUGAGCUCACAACAGCCCUGGCUGCUUGUGUGAGUUGUACAACCUUACAUCAGGAGAGAGAAGGGCUCAGAAGGCCUACACCUCAAUGAGUUAAUGGCUUCUAGGAGUGGGAGACUUGGUUUUCUUCAAGAGCAUGGCCCUUGGUCCACAAAAGCUCGGCACAUAGGUGAGCAGUGUAUGCAGACUGAAUGAGCCAGAGAAGUGCCUUCCAGGCUUUGCAAGGGAAUUUUUUUUGAGGCAUCGAAGAGGAAAGAUUCAACAUUGUACCAUAUGGUGUGUAGAAGCCUUGGAACAAAUCAUUUCUUUGCAUUGCUUCCUAUAAGCUUACCUUGUGAGUUCCAGGAAUGAACACAUACAAGUCGUCAUACUGGUUCUCAGAGCUGUCACCAUCACCAUCGACCUCUGGCAGGCUGGCUCCUGCCUCAGCACUUGGUUCUUCCUCCUUUGUGUCCCCAACCCUUUCAAGUUCCUCAGAUCUGUCUGUGCUCCGUCUGUGUGUCUUCAUGAGUUCACGAUGAAAUGCUGGCGGCUGCGUAGCUAUUGAUGAUAAAGAUUGAGCAAUGUCACUUAUGCACAUUGUCUGGAGGCAUUUUUGAAGAUUUGCACAGAAGGUGUAGCACAGUUAGCACACUUCGGUGACCCUGCUGCAUAGUACAAAGCUGCCCACUGCAUAGCUCUGCUUUACCUAAUGAGUCUCAAUGCUCCAUCACAUCUUGUUUCCCAAGUACUCAGCACAGCCACAAGUAUAGAGAUAUUUUGAUUCUGUGGAGAAACUGUUGAAAAUAAAUCUGUGUGCCUGUA